AGUGAACGCUGGCGGUAGGCCUAACACAUGCAAGUCGAACGGCAGCACAGUAAGAGCUUGCUCUUACGGGUGGCGAGUGGCGGACGGGUGAGGAAUACAUCGGAAUCUACUUUUUCGUGGGGGAUAACGUAGGGAAACUUACGCUAAUACCGCAUACGACCUACGGGUGAAAGCAGGGGAUCUUCGGACCUUGCGCGAUUGAAUGAGCCGAUGUCGGAUUAGCUAGUUGGCGGGGUAAAGGCCCACCAAGGCGACGAUCCGUAGCUGGUCUGAGAGGAUGAGGAGCAACACUGGAAAUGAGAGACGGUGCAGAAUCCUACGGGAGGAAGCAGUGGGGAAUAGUGGAGAAGGGGGGCAAGCCGGAUCCAGCCAUAGCGCGUGGGUGAAGAAGGCAUUAGGGUUCUAAGGCACUUUGGUUGCGAAAGAAAAGCAGCAGGUUAAGAACCAGCUGUUCUGACGGGACCAAAAGAAGAAGCACGGGCUAACGUCGUG
rnacentral:rRNA from 1 species